GAUGAAGAACGUAGUGAAAUGCGAUACGUAAUGUGAAUUGCAAAUUCAGUGAAUCAUCGAGUCUUUGAACGCACAUUGCGCCCCCUGGUAUUCCGGGGGGCAUGCCUGUUCGAGCGUCAUUUCAACCCUCAAGCUCUGCUUGGUCUUGGGCCGCGCCGGCAACGGCGGGCCUCAAAAACAGUGGCGGCGCCAUCUGGUCCCUCAGCGUAGUAAUUCUUCUCGCUGCUGGGCCCCAGUGGCCGCUUGCCAGCAACCCCAAACUUUCUAUGGUUGACCUCGGAUCAGGUAGGGAUACCCGCUGAACUUAAGCAUAUCAAUAAGCGGAGGA
rnacentral:misc_RNA from 1 species